GACUCACAAAGAUAUAUAUAUGUAUAUAUAUAUAUAUAUAUAUAUAUAUAUAUAUAUAUAUAUAUUCGGUCCU